rfam:Triticum aestivum genome assembly, contig: Triticum_aestivum_CS42_TGACv1_scaffold_131354_2BL
AUUGUACUCCCUCCGUUCGGAAAUACUCGUCAUUAAAAUGGAUGUAUCUAGAUGUAUUUUAGUUCUAGAUACAUCCAUUUUGAUGACAAGUAAUUCUGAACGGAGGGAGUAGAAU